rnacentral:lncRNA from 1 species
UUUUCAUCGUAAUAAGUUUAAAUAAUUAUUAGCGAUGGUGAUUUUGUUAUUAGCGAUGGCAAAGUCAUCGCUAAUAAUUAAUUAUUAUUAAUUAUGGCAUUAGCGAUGAAAUAAUACUGUCGCUAAUAAUUAAGCCCUAACAAUACCCCUGGAUCCCCGAUGGGCUCACAGAAACCCUCCCUUUGCUACCCCGCUGGCUCCCUUUCUUCGGUUGCCAUUCUCUCCUGCUGCACCGCUGGAGCCCCUGACCUCCUCCCCU